rnacentral:rRNA from 1 species
UACGGAAGGGGGCCAGCGUUGCUCGGAAUCAGCUGGGCGUAAAGCGCACGUAGGCGGAUUUGUAAGUCAGGGGUGAAAUCCCGGGGCUCGAACCUCGGAACUGCCUUUGAUACUGCAAAUCUCGAGUCCGGAAGAGGUGAGUGGAAUUCCUAGUGUAGAGGUGAAAUUCGUAGAUAUUAGGAAGAACACCAGUGGCGAAGGCGGUUCGUCUGGGCCUUACCUGACGCUGAGAGCGAAAGCGUG